rnacentral:rRNA from 1 species
UACGGAGGGAGCUAGCGUUAUUCGGAAUUACUGGGCGUAAAGGGCGCGUAGGUGGCCUUCUAAGUCGAACGUGAAAUCCCUGGGCUCAACCCAGGAACUGCGUCCGAGACUGGGAGGCUUGAAUCCGGGAGAGGGAUGCGGAAUUCCAGGUGGAGCGGUGAAAUGCGUAGAUAUCUGGAGGAACACCGGUGGCGAAAGCGGCUCACUGGACCAUCACUGACGCUGAGGUGCGAAAGCUAGGGUAGCAAACGGG